rnacentral:rRNA from 1 species
GUCCACGCUGUAAACGAUGAGCACUAGGUGUGGGGGUUCGAGUCCCUUCCGUGCCGCAGCUAACGCAUUAAGUGCUCCGCCUGGGGAGGUACGGCCGCAAGGUUGAAACUCAAAGGAAUUGACGGGGGCCCGGCACAAGCGGUGGAGCAUGUGGUUCAAUUCGAUGCAGAGCGAAGAACCUUACCUGGGCUUGACAUGCAGGAAGUAGAAACCGGAAACGGCAACGACCUGUUAAGUCAGGAACCUGCACAGGUGGUGCAUGGCUGUCGU